GCCGUCAAAAUCAUGCACCCAAUGGGGAGAAUCACGUGGUCAGAAUUGAGAAAACAUGGCCGCCGAUUCCUCGCUUAGAUUGAACAAUUGAGUGUUCAAACAGAGUCAGAAGCUCAGGAAAAGUACAAAACUGCUCACAUAGGCACCAAACAGUAUUGAAAGGGCCUUCGGAUUUUGGAAGCGAACCUUUCAUGUCCUUCAUGAUUGGAAUGAAGCCUGCCAAGGCCAGCCGCAUCAUCAUUGCCUGUGCUGUUCUUCAUAAUCUGUGGUUGAUGUGGAGGAACCAGCAGUGGAUCCGGAACCUUGAGAAAAGGUUGCCAAGGGAGAGAUGUUUCAGGCUGUAUCGGAUGGGAGAAGAGUUAGAGAU